rnacentral:rRNA from 1 species
CCUCCGUUUUUCCGCCGUCUGUACUCUUCUGCAAUGGACGAAAGUCUUACCGAGCAACGCCGCGUGAGUGAAGAAGGUUUUCGGAUCGUAAAACUCUGUUGGUAGAGAAGAACGUUGGUGAGAGUGGAAAGCUCAUCAAGUGACGGUAACUACCCAGAAAGGGACGGCUAACUACGUGCCAGCAGCCGCGGUAAUACGUAGGUCCCGAGCGUUGUCCGGAUUUAUUGGGCGUAAAGCGAGCGCAGGUGGUUUAUUAAGUCUGGUGUAAAAGGCAGUGGCUCAACCAUUGUAUGCAUUGGAAACUGGUAGACUUGAGUGCAGGAGAGGGGAGUGGAAUUCCAUGUGUAGCGGUGAAAUGCGUAGAUAUAUGGAGGAACACCGGUGGCGAAAGCGGCUCUCUGGCCUGUAACUGACACUGAGGCUCGAAAGCGUGGGAGCAAACAGGAUUAGAUACCCGGGUAGUC